rnacentral:lncRNA from 1 species
GAAGAAGGCGGGGUUUCGGGUGCACCAAGGGAGAUACUCAAGGUCACUUUGUAACAACUUUAUUGGCAACUAGCCGGGAAGGACAACGACAACCACCUGGUGAUUGGGCAGGCAAUCCUUGAAUUAUGUACAUUUAAUUUAGUAAUUCUAACAAAUGGCUAAUGGAAGUGAUAUCAACACGUCAACAUAAAAGAUUAAACAUCUAGAAUGCCCUGCUAAGAAGAUGGCUGGGGACUGAACUCCAGCCCAUUCUGCCUAGAGCCCUGGCAUGAGACAACAUCAACCCGGAGGAUCAGCUUUUUACUUGUUAGCGCAAAGAUCUAAUGUCUGGAUGGGAGGCAGCAAUAUUACAACUACAAGAACAAAAGUCACACGUUGAGGAUGGAGAAUCUGGAAAGUAGGAACCGGAAUUUUUCACUUUUUUUUGGAGUAAGCAGCCCUUAAUUGCCUAUUUAUGGAGUUCAUGUCACAUGAAAAAAAUAAAUCUCUAUUUGGCUAAGUCACUGAAGCCAGUUUCUGUUAUAUGCAGCUAAACACAACCCAAACUAAUAGAUAAUUUUGUAGACUUACAUCUCUGAAGAUCUUUGGCCUUUGGGCUGUGAUUACAGCUGAAGUGCCCCUUCUCCCCCCAAAUUUACAUUAAUUUACAUCUGCCUUUUCUUCCUUAUUUGAUGGUAUGAUAUGUCUGCUAGGGACCAAUCAGUAGAUCAAAAACAUACCUGUGAUUUGAACAGGGAAAAUUUAACAUAAAAAAAAACCAUUAACCAGUGAAAGAUGUCUGAAAGGAGCAGAGUGGACUCUAAGGGGUCCAGUGGUACUCCUGUAGGCAUGGCUACUAACCUUGGCUGAAGAAGAACGUACAAGAAGAAGGAACCUGAGAAAUUUAGAGGAGAAUGUGUGACUGCCACAAGAAUGUGUAGUCCACCUGUGCUGAAGAAACUUGCUGGAAGCAUGGGCCGUAACUGAAUUGUGAGGACUGUAGAGGUGAAUACUACUAGGCCCUGCCUGCAAACCAAUCCACUGGCUCCACACAAAAAAGUCUACCGGAAGAAGAAUGUCAAGUCCUUUCCUCUGCUCUGGUCUCCCAGUGUCUCUCCAUCAUCUUCUAUUGGCAGAACCUAUCAUUUUGCCAUUGCUAAAGCAGAAAUUUGGCAGGGUCCAGCUUACAGGGUCCAGCUCCAGAAUAACAAAGCAAGGGAAAAAAAGAUGGAUUUGUAGCUGAGAAGUCAUAAGUUAUAAGUCAAUAACUUAAGAAGUCAUAAGUUAAUAACUAGCACAGAUUGUAAGAUUCUCAACGGCAGGCAUUAUGUCUAAUGCAUGCUAUGUCUCUUAUAGCACCUAACAGAGUGUUAAACAUAGUAGUCACUCAAUAAAUGUUUUCUUGAUAAUAAAUAGUAUGUAUG